CCAGGUCUUGACAUCCCGAUGCUAUUUCUAGAGAUAGAAAGUUACUUCGGUACAUCGGUGACAGGUGGUGCAUGGUUGUCGUCAGCUCGUGUCGUGAGAUGUUGGGUUAAGUCCCGCAACGAGCGCAACCCCUAUUGUUAGUUGCCAUCAUUCAGUUGGGCACUCUAGCGAGACUGCCGGUAAUAAACCGGAGGAAGGUGGGGAUGACGUCAAAUCAUCAUGCCCCUUAUGACCUGGGCUACACACGUGCUACAAUGGUUGGUACAACGAGUUGCGAGUCGGUGACGGCGAGCUAAUCUCUUAAAGCCAAUCUCAGUUCGGAUUGUAGGCUGCAACUCGCCUACAUGAAGUCGGAAUCGCUAGUAAUCGCGGAUCAGCACGCCGCGGUGAAUACGUUCCCGGGCCUU
rnacentral:rRNA from 1 species